AUACGGAAGGUCCGGGCGUUAUCCGGAUUUAUUGGGUUUAAAGGGAGCGCAGGCGGAGAUGCAAGCGUGACGUCAAAUUUCGGGGCUCAACCCCGUCUCGCGUCGCGAACUGCGUCCCUUGGUUGCGGGAAGGGGAGGCGGAACUCGUGGUGUAGCGGUGAAAUGCAUAGAUAUCACGAAGAACUCCGAUCGCGAAGGCAGCCUUCCGGCCCGUCAACGACGCUCAUGCUCGAAGGUGCGGGUAUCAAACAGGAUUAGAUACCCUGGUAGUCCGCACAGUAAACGAUGGACACCCGCGGCUUGGCCUGUAUGGCUGAGCCGCCAAGCGAAAGCGUUAAGUGUCCCACCUGGGGAGUACGCCGGCAACGGUGAAACUCAAAUGAAUUGACGGGG
rnacentral:rRNA from 1 species